rnacentral:rRNA from 1 species
GUGGGGAAUAUUGGACAAUGGGGGGAACCCUGAUCCAGCCAUGCCGCGUGUGUGAAGAAGGCCUUUUGGUUGUAAAGCACUUUAAGCGAGGAGGAGGCUACCGAGAUUAAUACUCUUGGAUAGUGGACGUUACUCGCAGAAUAAGCACCGGCUAACUCUGUGCCAGCAGCCGCGGUAAUACAGAGGGUGCGAGCGUUAAUCGGAUUUACUGGGCGUAAAGCGUGCGUAGGCGGCUUUUUAGGUCGGAUGUGAAAUCCCCGAGCUUAACUUGGGAAUUGCAUUCGAUACUGGGAAGCUAGAGUAUGGGAGAGGAUGGUAGAAUUCCAGGUGUAGCGGUGAAAUGCGUAGAGAUCUGGAGGAAUACCGAUGGCGAAGGCAGCCAUCUGGCCUAAUACUGACGCUGAGGUACGAAAGCAUGGGGAGCAAACAGGAUUAGAAACCCCAGUAGUCC